CCCCUUUCGCGGCGCAACCGGCUCCCCUAUAUUCAGUUCGCCGUCCUCGGACGGCUAUGGCGAUAAAUGGUCAUCGAAAUAAGCCUAUCGGACCCGGGGGCGGUACCCGGCGCCUCCACCCAAGUCCAUGCGCAAGCUUGUCUUGCGCCUUGAGAAAGAUGGAUUUCGGCGGGGGCGAAAUAGGAUAGACGAGGGUGUAAAGGGUGUUCUUUUGCCCGGCAUGAUACCGCCGUUAUCGGGUCAAACCUAUAGUUGCCAACGACAACUAUGCUCCGGUGGCCGUCGCCGCGUAAUGCGGUGAUAGUACCGAAAUUGAAGUCCUGAGGCUUAGCCGCUUCAGGCGGGGCCCGGAGGCGCCUGGCAACAGAAGCCUCCACU
rnacentral:tmRNA from 1 species